rnacentral:lncRNA from 1 species
UUGAUUGAUUAUUAUGAGUUUGGUGAUUGACAUUUUAAAAACAACAAAAAGAAACGUAAGAACAACAAAUGUAAGAAGGAAGGAAUUUCAUUAAAGCAAGAAAGUAGGUACAAAUACAAGAAAAGUUAAACAUCUUCUUUUACUGGCUGGUCUAUAACCUCCUCUGUAUCUGCCUCUCCCUCAUUUCUAACUUCCUCAAUAGGAGCGGGAUGACUGGCUCUGGUUUUAGGGAGAAGAAGAGAUUGUCAGAUUCUUGUCAUUUCUUCUGAAAUUCUUCCUAUUCAGCCCAGAUUAACGUUGGUGAGCUUGCGCAUACAGCUAAGUUUACUUGCCCAAUAUCAAAUGGCCCCACAACGACUUGGGUGUGUAGAAUGUGAUUUGAUCUUAGCUUGGGAAUAUAACCUUGUAUCUUUGUCGUGGUUUCUAACUUAUAACAAUUCAAGUCUUCGUAGUUUUCCUUCUGCAUCCUCUUUAAAUCAGCCAACCGUCAUUCCUACAAGUAUUUGAUAGAUUAAUAAGUGGCUUCCCCUUAUUUUUAGGUUUGUCUUACUCUUUUUAAUAAUGGCUUCCCCUUAUUUCAAAUUUCAAGUUUAGGUUGAUGGGUUAUUAUGAGUUUGGUGAUUGGCAUUUUGAGAACAACAAAUGUAAGAAGGAAGGAAAUUUCAUUAAAGCAGGAAAGUAGGUACAAAUACAAGAAAAGUUAAACAUCUUCUUUUACUGGCUGGUCUAUAACCUCCUCUGUAUCUGCCUCUCCCUCAUUGCUAACUUCCUCAAUAGGAGCGGGGAUGGCUGGCUCUAGUUUUAGGGAGAAGAAGAGGUUGUUAGAUUCUUGUCAUUUCUUCUGAAAUUCUUCCUAUUCAGCCCAGAUUAACGUUGGUGAGCUUGCGCGUACAGCCAAGUUUACUUGCCCAAUAUCAAAUGGCCCCACAACGACUUGGGUGUGUAGAAUGUGAUUUGAUCUCAGCUUGGGAAUAUAACCUUGUAUCUUUGUCGUGGUUUCUAACUUAUAACAAUCCAAGUCUUCGUAUUUUUCCUUCUGCAUCCUCUUUAAAUUAGCCAACCAUCAUUCCUCCAAGGAUUUGAUAGAUUAAUA